AGGGCGUAUGGUGGAUGCCUAGGCUAACAGAGGCGAAGAAGGACGUGUUAGGCUGCGAAAAGCCACGGUGAGCUGCCAAAAAGCUUUGACCCGUGGAUGUCCGAAUGGGGAAACCCGGCUAGUGGAGACAUUAGUCACUCCGAAAGGAGAGCGAACCUGGUGAAGUGAAACAUCUCAGUAACCAGAGGAAAAGAAAUCAACCGAGAUUCCGAAAGUAGCGGCGAGCGAAAUCGGAAUAGCCCGAGACUAUGUAGCACAUAAUAUAACUUAAUUAUCUGGGAAGAUAAACCACAGAAGGUGAUAGUCCUGUGAGUGAAAUAUUAUGUGUGGGACUAAGUAGUCUCCUAGUGAGUAAGUCGGAACACGUGAAAUUCUGACUGAAUAUGGGAGGACCACCUUCCAAGGCUAAAUACUACUGUUAGACCGAUAGUGAACCAGUACCGUGAGGGAAAGGUGAAAAGAACCCCAGUGAGGGGAGUGAAAUAGAACCUGAAACCAUAUGCCUACAAUCAUUCAGAGCCGUAUUGUUUAUCAACGGUGAUGGACUGCCUUUUGCAUAAUGAGCCUGCGAGUUAUGAUAUCUGGCGAGGUUAAGUGAAUACGAAGCCGAAGCGAAAGCGAGUCUGAAUAGGGCGAAUAGUCAGAUGUUGUAGACCCGAAGCUGAGUGAUCUAUCCAUGAGCAGGUUGAAGCGGGUGUAAAAGCCCGUGGAGGACCGAACCGGUAAGUGUUGAAAAACUUUCGGAUGACUUGUGGAUAGGGGUGAAAGGCCAAUCAAACUCAGUGAUAGCUGGUUCUCUCCGAAAUGCAUUUAGGUGCAGCGUCAAGACGUAGCCAUAGGGGGUAGAGCACUGAUAGGGCUAGGGCGGCCUACAGCUGUACCAACCCCUGUCAAACUUCGAAUACCUAUGGUGGAAUCUUGGCAGUGAGGCGUAGGGUGAUAAAAUCCUAUGUCGAGAGGGGAACAACCCAGACUACCGACUAAGGUCCCAAAGUGAUAACUAAGUGGAAAAGGAGGUUUUCCUGCUUAGACAACCAGGAGGUUGGCUUAGAAGCAGCCAUCCUUUAAAGAAAGCGUAACAGCUCACUGGUCGAGCGGGGAAGCGCCGAAAAUAUAACGGGGCUAAAGUUAUCCACCGAAGUCGUAGAUAGAUACCUGGAGUAUCUGUGGUAGGAGAGCGUUGAUAUCAGCGAUGAAGCUAUACCGGUAAGGAGUAGUGGAGCGUUAUCAAGUGAGCAUGCAGGCAUGAGUAGCGAUAAAAGGAGUGAGAAUCUCCUUCGUCGAAAACCCAAGGAUUCCUACACUAUGCUCGUCAGUGUAGGGUUAGUCGGGACCUAAGGUGAGGCCGAAAGGCGUAAUCGAUGGAAAACUGGUUAAUAUUCCAGUACCCACUAAUAAUGAGGUGAUGAGAGGACGCAUAGAGCUAAGUACAGUAGUCUGAUGGAAUAGAUUACCGAAGGGAGCAGUUGGUAUAGUAGGCAAAUCCGCUAUACAAUACAACGAUACCUGAUAGGCUUUCAAUCAUCUUCGGAAGAGAGAAAGUGUGUAUGAUGCUGUCGUGCCAAGAAAAGUCUCUAAACUGUUUGAAUUAUUAGUGGCCCGUACCGUAAACCGACACAGGUGGGUGAGAUGAGUAUUCUAAGACGCGUGGAAGAACCCUGGUUAAGGAACUCUGCAAACUAGCACCGUAUCUUCGGUAUAAGGUGUGCCUCCUCACGGAGGUCGCAGUGAAAAGUCCCUGCCGACUGUUUAGCAAAAACACAGCACUCUGCUAACUCGCAAGAGGAUGUAUAGGGUGUGACGCCUGCCCGGUGCUGGAAGGUUAAAAGGAUCUGUUAGAGCAAUCGAAGCAGUGAAUUGAAGCCCCAGUAAACGGCGGCCGUAACUAUAACGGUCCUAAGGUAGCGAAAUUCCUUGUCGGUUAAAUACCGACCUGCAUGAAUGGCGUAACGAGUUGGGAGCUGUCUCGACCAGGGAUCCAGUGAAAUUGUAGUGGAGGUGAAAAUUCCUCCUACCCGCGGCAAGACGGAAAGACCCCGUGGACCUUUACUAUAGCUUGACAUUGCAAUCGGGAUAUUUAUGUGCAGGAUAGGUGGGAGGCUUUGACGGUAGGACGCCAGUUCUACCUGAGCCACCCUUGAGAUACCACCCUUAAAUAUUCUGGUUGCUAACUCGCUUGUUUACAGCAAGGAGGACAUUGUCUGGUGGGUAGUUUGACUGGGGCGGUCGCCUCCUAAAGAGUAACGGAGGCUUACAAAGGUUGGCUCAAACCGGAUGGAAAUCGGUUGUAGAGUAUAAAGGCAUAAGCCAGCCUGACUGCGAGAGAGACAUUUCGAGCAGAGACGAAAGUCGGUCAUAGUGAUCCGGUGGUUCUGAGUGGAAGGACCAUCGCUC
rnacentral:rRNA from 1 species